UGCUCAUCUCUGUCAAGGUGUGUGGUACC
rnacentral:piRNA from 1 species